rnacentral:rRNA from 1 species
UGGGGUGACUGCGUACCUUUUGUAUAAUGGGUCAGCGACUUAUAUUCUGUAGCAAGGUUAACCGUAUAGGGGAGCCGAAGGGAAACCGAGUCUUAACUGGGCGUUAAGUUGCAGGGUAUAGACCCGAAACCCGGUGAUCUAGCCAUGGGCAGGUUGAAGGUUGGGUAACACUAACUGGAGGACCGAACCGACUAAUGUUGAAAAAUUAGCGGAUGACCUGUGGCUGGGGGUGAAAGGCCAAUCAAACCGGGAGAUAGCUGGUUCUCCCCGAAAGCUAUUUAGGUAGCGCCUCGUGAACUCAUCUUCGGGGGUAGAGCACUGUUUCGGCUAGGGGGCCAUCCCGGCUUACCAACCCGAUGCAAACUACGAAUACCGAAGAAUGUUAUCACGGGAGACACACGGCGGGUGCUAACGUCCGUCGUGAAGAGGGAAACAACCCAGACCGCCAGCUAAGGUCCCAAAGUCAUGGUUAAGUGGGAAACGAUGUGGGAAGGCACAGACAGCCAGGAUGUUGGCUUAGAAGCAGCCAUCAUUUAAAGAAAGCGUAAUAGCUCACUGGUCGAGUCGGCCUGCGCGGAAGAUGUAACGGGGCUAAACCAUGCACCGAAGCUGCGGCAGCGACACUAUGUGUUGUUGGGUAGGGGAGCGUUCUGUAAGCCGUUGAAGGUGUGCUGUGAGGCAUGCUGGAGGUAUCAGAAGUGCGAAUGCUGACAUAAGUAACGAUAAAGCGGGUGAAAAGCCCGCUCGCCGGAAGACCAAGGGUUCCUGUCCAACGUUAAUCGGGGCAGGGUGAGUCGACCCCUAAGGCGAGGCCGAAAGGCGUAGUCGAUGGGAAACAGGUUAAUAUUCCUGUACUUGGUGUUACUGCGAAGGGGGGACGGAGAAGGCUAUGUCAGCCGGGCGACGGUUGUCCCGGUUUAAGCAUGUAGGCGGAGGUUCCAGGUAAAUCCGGUACCUUUUAACGCUGAGGUGUGAUGACGAGGCACUACGGUGCUGAAGUGAUAAAUGCCCUGCUUCCAGGAAAAGCCUCUAAGCAUCAGGUAACACGAAAUCGUACCCCAAACCGACACAGGUGGUCAGGUAGAGAAUACCAAGGCGCUUGAGAGAACUCGGGUGAAGGAACUAGGCAAAAUGGUGCCGUAACUUCGGGAGAAGGCACGCUGAUGUGUAGGUGAAGCCCCUGCGGGCGGAGCUGAAAUCAGUCGAAGAUACCAGCUGGCUGCAACUGUUUAUUAAAAACACAGCACUGUGCAAACACGAAAGUGGACGUAUACGGUGUGACGCCUGCCCGGUGCCGGAAGGUUAAUUGAUGGGGUUAGCUGUAAGGCGAAGCUCUUGAUCGAAGCCCCGGUAAACGGCGGCCGUAACUAUAACGGUCCUAAGGUAGCGAAAUUCCUUGUCGGGUAAGUUCCGACCUGCACGAAUGGCGUAAUGAUGGCCAGGCUGUCUCCACCCGAGACUCAGUGAAAUUGAACUCGCUGUGAAGAUGCAGUGUACCCGCGGCAAGACGGAAAGACCCCGUGAACCUUUACUAUAGCUUGACACUGAACACUGGUCCUUGAUGUGUAGGAUAGGUGGGAGGCUUUGAAGCGUGGACGCCAGUCUGCGUGGAGCCAACCUUGAAAUACCACCCUUUAAUGGCUGGUGUUCUAACGUAGACCCGUAAUCCGGGUUGCGGACAGUGUCUGGUGGGUAGUUUGACUGGGGCGGUCUCCUCCCAAAGAGUAACGGAGGAGCACGAAGGUUGGCUAAUCCUGGUCGGACAUCAGGAGGUUAGUGCAAUGGCAUAAGCCAGCUUGACUGCGAGCGUGACGGCGCGAGCAGGUGCGAAAGCAGGUCAUAGUGAUCCGGUGGUUCUGAAUGGAAGGGCCAUCGCUCAACGGAUAAAAGGUACUCCGGGGAUAACAGGCUGAUACCGCCCAAGAGUUCAUAUCGACGGCGGUGUUUGGCACCUCGAUGUCGGCUCAUCACAUCCUGGGGCUGAAGUAGGUCCCAAGGGUAUGGCUGUUCGCCAUUUAAAGUGGUACGCGAGCUGGGUUUAGAACGUCGUGAGACAGUUCGGUCCCUAUCUGCCGUGGGCGCUGGAGAAUUGAGGGGGGCUGCUCCUAGUACGAGAGGACCGGAGUGGACGCAUCACUGGUGUUCGGGUUGUCAUGCCAAUGGCACUGCCCGGUAGCUAAAUGCGGAAGAGAUAAGUGCUGAAAGCAUCUAAGCACGAAACUUGCCCCGAGAUGAGUUCUCCCUGAGACUU